GCCUUCGUGGUGUAGUGGUCAGCACGCUCCACGUGUAUUCGAGAGGUUCCGUGGUUCGAAUCCCGGCGAGGGCA
rnacentral:tRNA from 1 species